rnacentral:lncRNA from 1 species
AACAGUUCAUCUCUGAGGGAGUCAGGGCAGGAGCUGAAGCAGAAGCCGUGGAGGAAUGCUGCUUACAGGUGGUUUCCCUGGUCUGCUCAGCUUGCUUUCCUAUACAACCAGGACCACGCGCCCAGGGGGAUAGCUCUCACAGUGAGUGCACAUGCGGGGGUGAAGAAAAGCCAAACAUGCAGGUGAGGAAGGAUAAACAAUGCAGUGGACACAAACACAUAUCUAAUUGUUUUCCUUGCUUUAAUUCUGUCACAGAUUGUUUUGGGUUUGGUGGUAGCUAAAUGAGAAAAAUAUGUUCAAUACUGAAAUCAGCGUGGUAGAGUCAGUAUAAAAUUUAGUAUGAAGCUUUAUAGCUUCCAUUUGGAUGCCAAUUCUAACCAUAUAUAAGCUUAGUAAGUUAUAUAGACUUUGAGUUUGGCUAAUUUUGGUACAUGAUGUUUUUGUUUCUUUACUGUUUUUUGAGAAGAGUUUAUAAAAGUCAUUAAUCAAGAAAGUGCCUCAUAGUCAGACCCACAGGCCAUUCUGCUGGAGAGAGCGCCUUGAUUCUAUGGUUCCCUGUUCGUAGAUAUGUCUGUAUUUGUGUCAGGUUGACAAAACCUAGCUAGCACACCCUCAAUUCAAUGCCUGUUUCCUCAUGUGUAAAAUGGGCACGUGUAAGCUGGGGCAUGGCUUCCAGCGGUUGUCCCAUUAGUAUAUAAAAACUCUGAGCAGUGGACGCAUGGGAAGAGUCGAUUUUAGUGACUUCUGUGUCCCUGUGGCUGAAAUACCUCAUCUUACAGGAAUAGUUCUUUGUCUUGGGACUGGAGAGGAUUCAGUUAGUGUUCACUGGUGUCCCAUGCUUUUUUUGGUCAGAACAUUAAACUGGCAAGACUGUGGCUUAGCAUACUUGUAACUUAAAAAAAAUCACAUGUAUGUACAAAUUGUUUGUGUGCAUAUACUUGUGUGUGAGAGUUGCUUGUUUUCUUCCACCAUAUGGGCCCAUCAAACUUAAUUUGUCAGGGUUGGCAAUAAGUGCCUUUAUCUACUAAGCCAUCUUGCGCCCGCCCUGUUACUAACUUCUUGGCAUUGGAAUCAGAGAGAGGAAACAGAAAGGGAUCAGGAUAAGGUAUAUUUCCCAAGGCCUUGCUGUAUGACCUUUCUCCAACCAGGCCCUUCCUCCUACUUUUGACCUACUUUUCAUAAUCCCGUCAUAGUAUAAUCCAUCAAGAGCUUCAUUUUAGUGUGGGGAUUCAUGCCUGAAAUCCAGCAUUCAGGAGUCUGAGGAAGGAGUUACAGGCCAGCCUCAGCAAUGUUGGUCUAGGUCAGCUUGGAUUACAGAGUGAAACCCUGUCUUAAAAACUCCAAACUAAAGAAAACCUAAACGUUGCCGUCAUACGUAUGCAUAUCCUAACUAAACGUUGCCAUCAUACGUACGCAUAUCCUAAAGAGAUAUGCUUUACUGAUCUUCUAGGUAUUUCUGUCUAUCAAGCUGACAAGACUCACCAUGAGUUUUUAGCUAUUACACUACUGUAAUCUGAUCACCUUUGAAAGUGGGGACUUUCCUUUCACUGAUAACACUCUAACUGUGCAGAAGGUGUUUGCUACACACUGGAUGCUUAGCUAUGUCUUCCAGUAAAUCAAUAGUAUCC